rnacentral:ncRNA from 2 species
GGUGUAAAUUAAUAGGUUCUUCAUAUAUCCUCGAAAAUAAGGUUCGAGAGUCUCUACCGGGUCGCCGUAAAUGACCUGACUAUGAAGGCGGAGUUUUUUUCU